rnacentral:tRNA from 1 species
GUCCGUGUAGCGCAACUGGUAGGAGGCACCACCUUGAGGGGGUGGACAGUGGAGGUUCGAAUCCUCUCACGGACA